rnacentral:rRNA from 1 species
CUACGGGACGCAGCAGUGAGGAAUAUUGCACAAUGGAGGAAACUCUGAUGCAGCAACGCCGCGUGGAGGAUGACGCAUUUCGGUGUGUAAACUCCUUUUAUAUGUCAAGAAAAUGACGGUAGCAUAUGAAUAAGCUCCGGCUAACUCCGUGCCAGCAGCCGCGGUAAUACGGAGGGAGCAAGCGUUACUCGGAAUCACUGGGCGUAAAGGACGCGUAGGCGGGAUAGAAAGUCAGGUGUGAAAUCCUAUGGCUCAACCAUAGAACUGCACUUGAAACUUCUAACCUAGAGUAUGGGAGGGGAAGAUGGAAUUAGUGGUGUAGGGGUAAAAGCCGUAGAUAUCACUAGGAAUACCAAAAGCGAAGGCGAUCUGCUGGAACAUUACUGACGCUAAGGCGUGAAAGCGUGGGGAGCAAACAGGAUUAGAUACCCGAGUAGUC